UACGUAGGGCGCAAGCGUUAUCCGGAAUUAUUGGGCGUAAAGGGCGCGUAGGCGGUUCUUCAAGUCUCUCGUGAAAUCCCUCGGCUUAACUGAGGACGUGCGGGAGAUACUGAAGGGCUUGAGUCCGGAAGAGGGUGGUGGAAUUCCCAGUGUAGCGGUGAAAUGCGUAGAUAUUGGGAGGAACACCGGUGGCGAAGGCGGCCACCUGGGCCGGAACUGACGCUGAGGCGCGAAAGCGUGGGGAGCAAACGGG
rnacentral:rRNA from 1 species